UACGUAGGGGGCAAGCGUUGUCCGGAUUUAUUGGGCGUAAAGAGCGUGUAGGCGGCUAGGUAGGUCCGCUGUGAAAACUCGAGGCUCAACCUCGAGACGUCGGUGGAAACCAUCUAGCUAGAGUCCGGAAGAGGAGAGUGGAAUUCCCGGUGUAGCGGUGAAAUGCGCAGAUAUCGGGAGGAACACCCGUGGCGAAGGCGGCUCUCUGGGACGGUACUGACGCUGAGACGCGAAAGCGUGGGGAGCGAACAGG
rnacentral:rRNA from 1 species